AGGAAGCUUGCUUCCGUUGAGACCGGCGCACGGUGCGUAACGCGUAUGCAACCUACCUUUUACAGAGGGAUAGGCCCAGAGAAAAUUUGGAUUAAAUACCUCAUGGUAUAUAUCAUUCGCAUGUUUGAUAUAUUAAAGUUCCAACGGUAAAAGAUGGGCAUGCGUCCUAUUAGCUAGAUGGUAAGGUAACGGCUUACCAUGGCAACGAUAGGUAGGGGUCCUGAGAGGGAGAUCCCCCACACUGGUACUGAGACACGGACCAGACUCCUACGGGAGGCAGCAGUAAGGAAUAUUGGACAAUGGGCGAGAGCCUGAUCCAGCCAUGCCGCGUGCAGGAUGACGGUCCUAUGGAUUGUAAACUGCUUUUGUAUGGGAAUAAACCCAGAUACGUGUAUCUGGCUGAAUGUACCAUAAGAAUAAGGAUCGGCUAACUCCGUG
rnacentral:rRNA from 1 species